rnacentral:rRNA from 1 species
AUUGAACGCUGGCGGCAGGCCUAACACAUGCAAGUCGAACGGCAGCACAGAAGAGCUUGCUCUUUGGGUGGCGAGUGGCGGACGGGUGAGUAAUGUCUGGGAAACUGCCCGAUGGAGGGGGAUAACUACUGGAAACGGUAGCUAAUACCGCAUAACGUCGCAAGACCAAAGUGGGGGACCUUCGGGCCUCACACCAUCGGAUGUGCCCAGAUGGGAUUAGCUAGUAGGUGGGGUAAUGGCUCACCUAGGCGACGAUCCCUAGCUGGUCUGAGAGGAUGACCAGCCACACUGGAACUGAGACACGGUCCAGACUCCGACGGGAGGCAGCAGUGGGGAAUAUUGCACAAUGGGCGCAAGCCUGAUGCAGCCAUGCCGCGUGUACGAAGAAGGCCUUCGGGUUGUAAAGUACUUUCAGCGAGGAGGAAGGCGGUGAGGUUAAUAACCUCGCCGAUUGACGUUACCCGCAGAAGAAGCACCGGCUAACUCCGUGCCAGCCGCCGCCGUAA